GGAUGUGAGAGCAACUGUCUCUGACGUCUGUCACUCCAUUGAUUGCCAGGGUUGAUUCGGCUGAUCUAGCUGGCUAGGUGGCUUCUUCUCUUCACCUCUCCCUGUUCAUCACAACCUUUCCUGAAUAUAGGAGGGAUGGUUUUCUGUCAAGGGUAGCUGCACUCCCCUGCUAGAACCUCCAAACAAGCUCUCAAACAGGUCUUUCAGGUUUGAGUCCUCAGCUGAAGGGUCGAGACAUCCAGCUCCUCACUGCU
rnacentral:snRNA from 1 species